rnacentral:lncRNA from 1 species
AUUUAUAUAUCCAAAAUCCACAAUCCAAUAAUUACCCAAAAUCUGAAAUUCAGUCCAGCCGUCCAGGGGCCUGCUCUGCUCGUCGUCGAAGUCUCGUCUUCGCGAGUCCGGUCACUCCAGUCUCCACCAGUCCGCCUCCACAAUACACCGCCGGCUGCUCCGCCCGUCAGUCCGCUUCACGCCUCCACCUCCACUGGGGUCAGAAACUUUAUUAUAUUGAGAAUUUUAGGGCAAAGUAAAUUUGAUAAUCA